UACGUAGGGGGCAAGCGUUGUCCGGAAUCAUUGGGCGUAAAGAGCGCGUAGGCGGUCCGGUAAGUCCGCUCUGAAAGUCCGGGGCUCAACCCCGGGAGGCGGGCGGAUACUGCCGGGCUAGAGUCCGGAAGAGGCGAGUGGAAUUCCUGGUGUAGCGGUGAAAUGCGCAGAUAUCAGGAGGAACACCGAUGGCGAAGGCAGCUCGCUGGGACGGUACUGACGCUGAGGCGCGAAAGCUAGGGGAGCGAACAGG
rnacentral:rRNA from 1 species